rnacentral:lncRNA from 1 species
CUGAUUUCUUUUUGUUUUUACCCUCAUCAUGAAUUUUGAAAUGUGUCUUCCUUCAAUGUCAGGUACCCCCAGGAUUUGGUUUAGGGGCCAUUCACAAAGGAUGUCCAGCCAAAUGAUGGAUUUUCGGACUCCCCCCCUUGUCCGGCAUUGUCCGAAUUAGUGCCCCCCGGACAUCCACCAUGCCUCGCAAAAACUCAUGCAACCUUGUAUAUGUCAAGAGUAAAAAACUUUUUUUUACUUUUAGAACUUUUUUAUAACUAUAAAUGUGAAUACAAAAACAUAUAAAAUAC